rnacentral:lncRNA from 1 species
GCGCUGCUGGGAGCGCUUCGGUUGUUUCAGCUUUUGAAACUCUGUGUUUUCCAACGCACAAGUGCGAACACUUGUAUUCUUGGUUUGAACAGACUCAAAAGUCAUCCACGUGGAAUCCAAGUAACAAGAACCACCUUUGCAGGCUAGGUUUGCGUUCGAAACUGGGUUUGCACCCCCGAAGGGGGCUCAGCGGGGUUUGCGAGGCUUCUCCCAAGCGCAACACCCUAGAAAGCCGGGUGCCUGGCCGGGGCACGCUUGUUCCCAAUUUUACCGGUGGGUAUCCGGCGGUGGGUUUCGAACGUGCCACCUCCCGCAGCCGAGCCGGACGCCCUAAC